UACGUAGGGAGCAAGCGUUGUCCGGAAUCAUUGGGCGUAAAGCGCGCGUAGGCGGCCGGGGAAGUCUGUGGUGAAAGCUCGUGGCUCAACUACGAGUCGGCCAUAGAUACUCUCUGGCUCGAGCACUGUAGAGGCAGGUGGAAUUCCGGGUGUAGCGGUGAAAUGCGCAGAUAUCAGGAGGAACACCGGUGGCGAAGGCGGGUCUCUGGGCCGUAACUGACGCUGAGGAGCGAAAGCGUGGGGAGCGAACAGG
rnacentral:rRNA from 1 species